CAUAUGCCACUGCGUCCAUGGCUGCACUUCUCGGCGCAAGUACCCAUAUAAGUCGGAGCUAGGCUAGUUAAUAGAGAGAACCAUGUAUAGAGAUUACUUCCUCUGUUCCGAAAUAAUUGUCGCCGGGAGUUUCUAGCACUCCCUUCGUCCGGAAAUACUUGUCGGAGAAAUGAAUGUAUCCAGAUGUAUUUUAGUUCUAGAUACAUUCAUUUUUAUGCAUUUCUUCGACAAGUAUUUUCGGACGGAGGGAGUACAAAGUUCGGCACGUACAAUCUUUUUUGCUGUUUCAUAAACUACCCUCCCACCUCAUCCACUCUCUCGCUCACUCACGCACUCGCUAUCUCGCUCAGCCGAAUCCCUAGUUCGCGUCGUCGGCACCUCUCCCUAGCUCACGUCGCCGGCGCCUCUCCUAGCUCGCGUCCUCGGCGCCUCUCCCUCGCCUGUGUCGCCGCUGCCUCUCCCUCGCCCGCGCCGCCGCCACCGUCGCAAAGAUCUCAUUUUUAUUCUCCGGCGGCUGAUCCCGAGUGCGGAGGCUCGUUCUGCAAUGGCCUUCCUCCACUCCAACGCCCUUCGCAGGUGCAGAUCUCCGAGCUUUACCGGCGCCACUCCGAACUCGUCCCUGAUGCGCAGUCCUCCUCUUCAUGUUGUCUCUUCUUCCUCCAACUCUUACAUGGAGCAGAGCAGAUGCCCUCAUCAACCUGCCUGCAGCCAGCCGUGCGGCCGCAGCAGAUUGACGAGGAGGACUGAUGACGACAAUGGAGGAGGACUGAAUCAAGCUGAAAAUGCAUUGAGAUAAUGUGGGAAUGGAAAAUGAGUAUGAUUGCUGAAAAUGGACCGUCAUAUAUACCUGUACAAGGUUGGGGAGGCACGGUCAGCGUUGGUGUUUUGGUGCAAGUCGCCGGGGCCCGGAGAGAGGAGAGGUCGUCACGUCGAGCUCAUGGGGAUAGGGCAGCCACCACUGUCGCCUCCCGCGACAGAGCAAAGGUGAGGAUGCUUGACUGUCAAAACUGAAAAAUUGAGAUCUGCUUGUGAAACUGAAAAACUGAGAUCGGCUUAUAAACAUAGCUUGAAGAUCAUGGCUAUUAUUGUGAAGUUCUCCAGGUGAUGAGCUUACUCGAGUGCUUUCCCCUGGAGACUUUGCAUUUCCAGGUGACUUCUUGGAGAUUUUGAAACUGCUUGUACUGUCAUAAUUUUCAGUUUGUAAAACUGAGAAGUGUAUUUUCCAUUUUAAAACUGAGAUCUGCUUGCACUAUCAUACAGUAAUUUUCAGUUUGUAAAGCUGAGAAGUGUAUUUUCCAUGUGGAAACUGAGAUCUGCUUGCACUGUCAUAAUUUUCAGUUUGUAAAACUAAGAAGUGUAUUUUCCAUUUUGAAACUGAGAUCUGCUUGCUCUAUCAUACAGUAAUUUUCAGUUUGUAAAGCCGAGAAGUGUAUUUUCCAUGUGGAAACUGAGAUCUACUUGUGCUGUCAUAGUUUUCAGUUUGUAAAAUUGGAGUACUGCAGAUUUUACUGCCAAAACCGUAUCCACUGUAAAAACUGAAAUAAAAUAAGCACUGUCACUGUGAUGCUUUGACUAAAAUAAAAUAAGGUUUAUCACUAUUAAAAUUGUCUAAAUGGCCAUCAAGCAAUGAAAUUUGGCUGGUCUCACAGAUUUAUGGGAUUUCCACAUCUUCUUCUAUGAUCUCCUGUGUGUAAUUGAAUGUGCUAAAGCAUGGAGUAGAGAUUUGUAGUGAUCUCCUGCAGCUUCUACAGACUUGAUUCACUAAAUUCACUAAAGCAUGGAGUGGAGAUUUAUGUGCAUCUUCUUUGUUGGCAUCUUCUUUGCUUGUGGAAGGAUGUACAGUAUGGAGUAUGGAGUACUUCAUUUCUGUGAAUGCAAGGCUUGGCAGUAGAGAUUUGUGCAACUUUUUCAGUACAGUGUAGGAGUAACAUUUUUUUGUUCAUCUUUUAAUAGGACUACUUCAAUGCACUUCAUUUAAGGACGAUGCAAGCCAUUUACCAGAAAGCAGAAGCAGAUUUUGGUAGGUAAAGAAAACCUUUGCAUGCUUCCAGAUUUGUGUAUACAUCUACUGAAGCAAACAAAUGUACAGUACCAGUGCUAGUGCUUCCAGAAUUUGAGUACACCAGUGCAUAUUCGCUCCUGUAGACAAAAGACUGUCGUAGACUCCAAUUUUAGUGUCUUUUUGGUAAGUACAGAAAAUCUUUGCCUGCUUCCAGAUUUGGAGUACAAAGACAAAAGACUAUUGUAAGUACAUGCACAUUCUUCGGUUCCUCUUCCAUGAUAUACAGAUCGAUAAAUGAAGUGCUUGUGCUCCAACUUUGUAAGAAGAUGUUCAGAGACCCAUGUAGAAUGAUGUUCAUAUUACUCCUAUAGACAGAGAGUGAUGUACUCCUUGUAUUCAUGUCUACAGUAAGAAGCAGAUAGUGCACCUUGCCAGCUGCUCUUUUCUUUGCUUUACCCUACAUUUUCUUUUCUUGGCUAUGAAUGUUAAUUGAAAGUGCCAUUGCUAACUAACCAAAGCCAGCCAUGUUUAAAGAAUAAAUGUAAGCUUAUCACACAACCAAAGCAAGCCAUGUUUAGUUAGCCAUAUUUGGAUGACUGAUGGAAAUGUGGGCUGCAGGCUACACUUGCCUCCUUUAUUUGUCUCUUUUAUUUCAGCUGAGUCCUGAAUUUGAAAUUCUAGUGAUUCCUCAAAUUCUGAUGUACUGUUUAACUGAAUCAAUCUUGUGUUGUUAAUUUCUAUAAUUUGAGGUGAGGAGUACCUGCCUGGAGUGGUGUGUGUUGCGAUGACCAGGCGGGGGCGCAUCGACGAUCUGUCUGGGCAACGGGGCGAGGACGCUAGGGCGGCGGCGACAAAACUGGGGCAGUGGGGCGGAGGAGGUUGGGCCUGCUACUGGCGACGGGGAUGAGCAACUGGACAACAGGGAGGAGCCUGGUGGAGGGUCCUGCUGGUGGAGGGCGGAGGAGGAGGGGCCUGCUGCUGGCGACGGGGACGAGCAGCUGGACGACAGGGAGGAGCCUGACGGAGGCUCCUACUGGUGGAGGGUGGAGGAGGAGGAGGAGGAUGGGCUUGCUCCUGGUCUGGACGAUCAGCUGGAGGAGGAGGAGGGGCUUGCUGCUGGCCUGGAUGCGCUGCCCUGGAGGAAGACAACGAGGAAGACGACGAUCUGAUUUCAAGUUAGGGGUAGUUCUGUACUUUCGUUCAUUUUCACCUGGUUGGAGAUUUCUCCCAGCGACAAUUAUUUCGGAACGGAGGAAGUAUUAUCGAUCCCCCGAUCGUUAUUGUACACGGAUGCAGAAUAUCUGCUCGUGAACUCAUAUGCUCCUCGAUGAACAGUAAAUUCGAAAAAAAUGACAAUAAAAUUCAAAACUUUUGAUUCUUUUUGGGAAAA